UGUUAUUCUGUAAUAUUCACGUUUCUGUUGCAUACAUGCUAUUAUUUAAACAAAAUAACAGUAGGACUAGUUAACAGUGGCAAUUAAUGGUGAGGACUGUUAAAUAAAU